GAUGAGCGCUGGCGGCGUGCCUAAUACAUGCAAGUCGAGCGAACAGACGAGGAGCUUGCUCCUCUGACGUUAGCGGCGGACGGGUGAGUAACACGUGGAUAACCUACCUAUAAGACUGGGAUAACUUCGGGAAACCGGAGCUAAUACCGGAUAAUAUAUUGAACCGCAUGGUUCAAUAGUGAAAGACGGUUUUGCUGUCACUUAUAGAUGGAUCCGCGCCGCAUUAGCUAGUUGGUAAGGUAACGGCUUACCAAGGCAACGAUGCGUAGCCGACCUGAGAGGGUGAUCGGCCACACUGGAACUGAGACACGGUCCAGACUCCUACGGGAGGCAGCAGUAGGGAAUCUUCCGCAAAGGGCGAAAGCCUGACGGAGCAACGCCGCGUGAGUGAUGAAGGUCUUCGGAUCGUAAAACUCUGUUAUUAGGGAAGAACAAAUGUGUAAGUAUCUAUGCACGUCUUGACGGUACCUAAUCAGAAAGCCACGGCUAACUACGUG
rnacentral:rRNA from 1 species